AGAAUCAACGCUGGCGGCGUGCCUAACACAUGCAAGUCGAACGAGAAAGUGGAGCAAUCCAUGAGUAAAGUGGCGCACGGGUGAGUAACACGUGACUAACCUACCCUUGAGUGGGGAAUAACCUCGGGAAACCGGGCUAAUACCGCAUAACACCUACGGGUCAAAGGAGCAAUUCGCUUAAGGAGGGGGUCGCGGCAGAUUAGUUAGUUGGCGGGGUAAUGGCCCACCAAGACAGUGAUCUGUA
rnacentral:rRNA from 1 species